rnacentral:lncRNA from 1 species
AAAAUCAAAAUUUAAUUAACUACAUAGUACAAAUUAACAGCAAUUUUAUAUAUUUUCUUAUAAAUUAAGUUUAUUUUUUUAUAUUACUUAACUUAUUAUAGGUAAUAUAUAUAUCCUCCAAAAUUAGGUAGAUUUGAAGAAACUAUUACUCAUAUUGCCACGUCAUCUUAAUGAUCAAAGGGUUUCAAAAUUUAUAAUUUUAAUGGUCGAUAAGAGGCGUUUUCUCGUUUAACGGCGUAAAAAUAUUCAAAUCAAUUGAAUUUUUGUUAAAAAAUUUUUUAAACUAUUUAAAACAAGAUCUAUACUCUUGAUCUUGAUUACAAGACUCCUAUCAUUAUUUUUUUAAAGAAUAUUCAUUUUCAACCAUUCAUUUUUCUGUUCACUUGAUGGAUAAAAGAACAAUAUCGAAAGUGCGUGAAAUUUGAUUUCUAGGUAGUUUAAAAGGUUUAGAUCAUAUUUAACGGAGCCGAUCGUCAAUUUGGAAGCUCUAUCAUCGAAAACAAAUCCGUAGUAAAAUAACUCGUUUACUACCGAUAGUAUUCUAGCUCAACUCUAUAUAUAGAUAUAUAUGUAC